AGACCCGAAACCCGGUGAUCUAGCCAUGGGCAGGUUGAAGGUUGGGUAACACUAACUGGAGGACCGAACCGACUAAUGUUGAAAAAUUAGCGGAUGACCUGUGGCUGGGGGUGAAAGGCCAAUCAAACCGGGAGAUAGCUGGUUCUCCCCGAAAGCUAUUUAGGUAGCGCCUCGUGAAUUCAUCUCCGGGGGUAGAGCACUGUUUCGGCUAGGGGGCCAUCCCGGCUUACCAACCCGAUGCAAACUGCGAAUACCGGAGAAUGUUAUCACGGGAGACACACGGCGGGUGCUAACGUCCGUCGUGAAGAGGGAAACAACCCAGACCGCCAGCUAAGGUCCCAAAGUCAUGGUUAAGUGGGAAACGAUGUGGGAAGGCCCAGACAGCCAGGAUGUUGGCUUAGAAGCAGCCAUCAUUUAAAGAAAGCGUAAUAGCUCACUGGUCGAGUCGGCCUGCGCGGAAGAUGUAACGGGGCUAAACCAUGCACCGAAGCUGCGGCAGCGAACGUAUCACCCAAGACAACUUUACGGAGUUGACGAUUGACGGAGCGAAGCGACGUCAAAGCGUUCAUUAAAGUCGAGUUGGCUUAGGGAUACGUUCGUUGGGUAGGGGAGCGUUCUGUAAGCCUGUGAAGGUGUGUCGUGAGGCAUGCUGGAGGUAU
rnacentral:rRNA from 5 species